GGAGUUAGCCGGUGCUUCUUCUGUGAGUGAUGUCCUUCCUGCCGGCUAUUAACCCGCAGGCCUUCUUCCUCACUGAAAGUGCUUUACAACCCGAAGGCCUUCUUCACACACGCGGCAUGGCUGGAUCAGGGUUGCCCCCAUUGUCCAAUAUUCCCCACUGCUGCCUCCCGUAGGAGUCUGGGCCGUGUCUCAGUCCCAGUGUGGCUGAUCAUCCUCUCAGACCAGCUACGGAUCGUCGCCUUGGUGAGCCGUUACCUCACCAACCAGCUAAUCCGACAUAGGCUCAUCCGAUAGCGCGAGUCCCGAAGGUCCCCCGCUUUCCCCCGUAGGGCGUAUGCGGUAUUAGCCUGGGUUUCCCCAGGUUAUCCCCCACUACCGGGCAGAUUCCUAUGCAUUACUCACCCGUCCGCCGCUCGCCACCAGGGAGCAAGCUCCCCGUGCUGCCGCUCGACUUGCAUGUGUUAGGCCUGCCGCCAGCGUUCAAUCUGAGCCAUAAUCAAACUCUGA
rnacentral:rRNA from 1 species